rnacentral:lncRNA from 1 species
UCAUAUUUUAUUUGGUUGAUAAAUUUGAUAAACUACAGCAUUCCACAAGAUACUAAAUCAGGCUUAGAUGUUUAAUUAUUGACCCCAUUUUAUGCUGUUUUAUUUUCCAUGUGUGGGCAAAAAAUAGUGGUGUUCCAAAUUGCCAUAACAACAGUCUGCACUCCUUAAAACAAGAUACGCUGUGUGUCAAAGUAAAACUGUUGCCAUGGUAACCAGUUGAAUAUUUAAAGUGCAGCAUCCUGGUUUAAUCAGUCAAAUUGCUUCUUUUCCAGAUAUCAACUACAUCGGCACUCUUACAGCAGAAACAGUGAAAAAGGGAAAAACAUUGAAGUUAAUAAAAAAUAAUUUCUGUCCUGUAUGUUCCCUUUCUGGUUUUGUUUCAGAAGAGUCACUUAAACUGCUUCUUUCUAACAAGAGUGCAAAUACUGGAUCCUGUCUUUUAUCCUAGAAUUCUCAGAAAUUCAUCUCAUCUGUUCAAGAUAUACAUUCCCUUAACAGAUGCAGUGCACACACAGAGGAGGACCCGACUGCAGAGAGAUCGCUGCCACGUGCCGGAUCUACAGAUGCAUUGGGAACGCCUGCCUGUGUAAACACAGAUGCUAUUUUGCAAAAGUUUCUAGAUAGCAGCUGAAUGAUGACUCAGACAUUUUUUGUCACUGCAGAGCUGCACAUGGUCUUGUGUACAGCAUCGUGAAAGACAUUAGAGCAAACGUACCAAUGAAGAGCUCUUUACUCUGGAAUUUUUGUGCACCCCACAUUUUUGCAAUAAUGCUCUCUGCAAUAAGCCAUAAUGUUCUUCUGUGACACGACAUGCAUAGCAAUAAAAAGAGAUAACUGGCAUCCUUAUGUUUAAGU